rnacentral:rRNA from 1 species
AAAGCAUUUUGAAGAGAGAGUUAAAGAGGACGUGAAACCGAUGAGGUGGAAACGGACAGAGCUGGCGUAUCUGGCCUGUAUUCAGCCGCUCGUUGUCGGCCCACCGUUGCUGCACUCCAGAUUGGGAAGGCGGCGUGGGCGCUGGCUGCGUGUGGUGCAUUUGCAGGUGGAAUGCGCCGAGGCGCUCGGCUCAGCGGCAUGAGCUCAGCUUUGAGGCCAACCGUGCAAACGGUCUGGUACCCGGGCUGGGGGAGUGUUGUUUGGGCUGGGUGUUCCCUUGGGGCUGUGGUUUCGGGCCCGGGGGGGUGGCCAGCUGGGGGUCGGGGGGGGUUCCUUGGGAACCCUGCCAGCAGUUGGUUCCGUCCUUCUCGAACCCUCCUUUUGGCCCGGGCUCCGGGUUAAAACCCGUCCUCUCCCCCACCCCUCUUGAAACACAGAACAAAGAAUUUAGCGUGGGCCCCAAUCCUUGGGCGUUUAAAACCCCAAGGCCCAAUGAAAGUGAAGGUCUGGCGUGGGCAGUUAAUGUGGGAACCCGGGCGCUCCGGCCCACGGGCCCCACCUUCUCCCCUUCCUACCGGGUGGCGUGGGGGAGAAACAGAACCUACCCGCUUAAACCCCAAAAAUUGUUAACUUUUCCUGAACAAGAAGAAGCCAGAAGACACUCUGGUGAAAUUCCAAACCAAUUCUUACGUGCAAAUCGAUCGUCUGAACUGGGUAUAGGGGCGAAAGACUAAUCGAACCAUCUAGUAGCUGGUUCCUUCCGA